UAGAAAUACCGCACUGGAGGGGUAUGGAUCCGAAGCCUCUAGAAGGAUAACAAAGGCUCUCCACACUCUACUCCUACUCAAUACGUCCCCGGCGUACAGAGCGGUAACAUGUCUCUCCAAAUAUCUGAGCUUGGGUAUUCGGGGAAAUACCCAACCCCUUGGGAGUUUGAGUGAUAUGGCUAAAUUGAGUGGA
rnacentral:ribozyme from 1 species